AACGCACAUUGCGCCCAUUAGUAUUCUAUUGGGCAUGCCUGUUCGAGCGUCAUUUCAACCCUUAAGCUCAGCUUAGUGUUGGGAAUCUACCGUGAGCGGUGCUACCUGGUACCUACCCUGUAACGGGCGUAGGCUACCCUGUAGCUACCCUGUAGUUCCUCAAAUUCAACGGCGGGGUUAUAGUCAUCUCUGAGCGCAGUAAUUUUUAUCACGCUUUUGAAGGUGCUAUAGCCCUCGCCGCUAAACCCCCAAAUUUUUAAUGGUUGACCUCGGAUCAGGUAGGAAUACCCGCUGAACUUAA
rnacentral:misc_RNA from 1 species